UACGUAGGGUGCAAGCGUUAAUCGGAAUUACUGGGCGUAAAGCGUGCGCAGGCGGUUUUGUAAGUCUGACGUGAAAUCCCCGGGCUCAACCUGGGAAUUGCAUUUGAAACUGGGGAACUAGAGUGUGUGAGAGGGGGGUAGAAUUCCACGUGUAGCAGUGAAAUGCGUAGAGAUGUGGAGGAACACCGAUGGCGAAGGCAGCCCCCUGGGUCAAGAUUGACGCUCAUGCACGAAAGCGUGGGGAGCAAACAGG
rnacentral:rRNA from 1 species